CGCAGCCAGGGGUUUUUGCUGAGCUCGCAGAAGGGGAAGGGCAGGCCCCGGAGAGGGCUGGCCCUUGGUUUUCUCUAUGAAUGGGCUUAUGGGUAGCAGCUGCUGUUGCAUCGGGAGAAGGAGCGUGGCACAUGCCCCAGGGCUGAGCCCCGCUUUAGGUGAAUAAUGUUGUCAACAUGUCUGUGAAGUCAUUGCUUUGUGAGAGAAUCACCGUUGCCAAAGAACUAAUAAAGAGAGCAGAAGCCCUUUCCAGAUCACAAAAAGGAGGCAUAGAAGGUGGAGCAAAGCUAUGCAGCAAAUUGAAGGCAGAGUUGAAAUUCUUACACAGGGUGGAGGCAGGGAAGGUAGCCAUUAAGGAGUCCCAUCUGCAGAGUACCAAUCUCACACACCUCCAAGCCCUAAUUGAGUCAGCAGAGAACCUGGAGGAGGUCAUCAGUGUCCUUCAUGUCUUUGCUUAUGAAGACAGCUUUGGAGAAAAGCAAACGCUGGUGGUAGAUGUUGUUGCAAAUGGGGGCCACACUUGGGUGAAAGCAAUUGGUCGAAAGGCUGAAGCUCUUCAUAAUAUUUGGCUGGGCCGGGGCCAGUAUGGUGACAAAAGCAUCAUUGAGCAGGCAGAGGACUUCCUGCAAGCAAGCCAUCAGCAACCAGUGCAGUAUAGCAACCCCCAUAUUAUCUUUGCUUUUUAUAAUAGUGUGUCCAGUCCUAUGGCAGAGAGGCUGAAAGAGAUGGGUAUAUCUGUGCGGGGAGAUAUAGUUGCUGUUAAUGCUUUGGUGGAACACUUGACUGAAGAGACACACCUAAGUGCCAGUGAAUCUGAUGAAGAAAGCUCUGAACUUCUGCAAGUGACCAGAGUAGAUCGGGAGAAUUUAGUAGCCAGCGUUGCUUUUCCUACAGAGAUCAAAGUAGAUGUGUGCAAUAGGGUUAACUUGGACAUAACUACUUUAAUUACAUAUGUCUCUGCUCUUAGCUAUGGUGGCUGCUACUUUAUCUUUAAGGAGAAAGUGUUAACGGAGCAGGCAGCACAGGAAAGGAAGGAGAGAGUCCUGCCUCCGUUGGAGGAGUUCAUGAAGGGCAAGGAACUGUUUACUUGUGAAUCUGCAGUCAGAGACUUUCAGUCAAUCUUAGACACUCUAGGAGGACCUGGGGAGAAAGAUCGAGCCGUGUUACUCAUGAAGAGAAUUAAUGUGGUGCCAGACCAGCCUUCUAACCGUGCCUUAAGACUAGUGGCUAGUUCAAAAAUCAAUAGCCGCUCUCUAGCCAUUUUUGGGACAGGAGACACUUUAAAAGCCAUCACGAUGACUGCAAACAGCGGUUUUGUUAGGGCUGCAGCUAACCAGGGGGUUAAGUUUAGUGUACUUAUCCAUCAGCCAAGGGCACUGACUGAAAGCAAAGAGUCUGUUGCCACACCUUUCGUAAAGAGCUGCACAGCCGAUAGUGGGCUCUGACUAAGCCCUUCAGUUAAUUUACAUUACUAUAACGAUCUUAAUUUACAUAAAUAUAACUAUCUAAAUGUGCAGUUCAGGAAAUGGAACUGUCAAAACAAUACAUUUUUUUCAUUUUUGCAUGCCAGAUCCUGAGACAUAUAGUAACUUACCUUCAAACGAAAAAUUCAAGUGAAGCAAAAAUCCAUACUUCAUUCAGAAUAGUAACUACAAUGGCUAAAGGAAUGUAAGUGUUUAAAACAUGUAGAUCCUCUGGAAUUUUUGUUCUCCAUUCAGUAGAGCAUAUUCUCUGAAAUAACUGCAUUUCGGUGGAAAAUGUUCACUAUGUUCUACCUUAUUAAAAAGUUCAAUUGGAAAAUCAA